CCAAUGAUCAGAAACCAUUCGUCAUCUUUAAAUUUUUUAUUAAUCUGAAGUUCCUACAAUAAAUUAUAAAUAUUAAUCGAACUUUCAAUAUCUAUUACCCAGGUAGUAGUAUCACACAGAGAAAUUACAAAGAGUUAUCAUAUAAGUACCUUGUUCAGCGACAGAUUGCUACUUUUCUCUUGUUCGGUCUAUUGGGGUCAA
rnacentral:lncRNA from 1 species